GUGGUGUUUACAACUAAUUGAUCACAACCAGUUACAGAUUCCUUUGUUCCUUCUCCACUCCCAC
ensembl:misc_RNA Y_RNA Y RNA